rnacentral:miRNA from 1 species
ACAAGUUUUCGGGAGAACCUCCCUUUCUCAAGUCUGAAGCAUUUCCAGACUUGAGAAAGGGAGGUUCUCCCGAAAGCUUG